rnacentral:rRNA from 1 species
GACGAACGCUGGCGGCGUGCUUAACACAUGCAAGUCGAACGGUGAAGCGCCUUCCUUUUUGGUGGGUGUGGAUGAGUGGCGAACGGGUGAGUAACACGUGAGUAACCUGCCCCCUUCUUCUGGAUAACCACAUGAAAGUGUGGCUAAUACGGGAUAUUCUGGGUCUGUCGCAUGAUGGGUCUGGGAAAGAUAUUGUUUCGGUGGGGGAUGGGCUCGCGGCCUAUCAGCUUGUUGGUGGGGUGAUGGCCUACCAAGGCGGUGACGGGUAGCCGGCCUGAGAGGGUGGACGGUCACACUGGGACUGAGACACGGCCCAGACUCCUACGGGAGGCAGCAGUGGGGAAUAUUGCACAAUGGGCGCAAGCCUGAUGCAGCGACGCCGCGUGAGGGAUGGAGGCCUUCGGGUUGUGAACCUCUUUCGCCAGUGAAGCAGGCCUGCCUCGUUUGUGGGUGGGUUGACGGUAGCUGGAUAAGAAGCGCCGGCUAACUACGUG